UACGUAGGGUGGCAAGCGUUAAUCGGAAUUACUGGGCGUAAAGCGUGCGCAGGCGGUUUUGUAAGUCUGUCGUGAAAGCCCCGGGCUCCAAGCCUGGGAACUUGGACGAUGGAGACUGCAAGGCUUGAAUCUGGCAGAGGGGGGUAGAAUUCCACGUGUAGCAGUGAAAUGCGUAGAGAUGUGGAGGAACACCGAUGGCGAAGGCAGCCCCCUGGGUCAAGAUUGACGCUCAUGCACGAAAGCGUGGGGAGCAAACAGG
rnacentral:rRNA from 1 species